GCCUGGGUGGCUCUGUUGGUUAAGCAACUGACUUCGGCUCAGGUCAUGAUCUCAUGGUUGGUGGGUUCGAGCCCCGCAUCAGGCU
rnacentral:tRNA from 1 species